GAUGAAGAACGCAGCGAAAUGCGAUAAGUAGUGUGAAUUGCAGAAUUCAGUGAAUCAUCGAAUCUUUGAACGCACAUUGCGCCCCUUGGUAUUCCAUGGGGCAUGCCUGUUCGAGCGUCAUUUGUACCUUCAAGCUUUGCUUGGUGUUGGGUGUUUGUCUCGCCUUUGCGUGUAGACUCGCCUUAAAAUAAUUGGCAGCCGGCGUAUUGAUUUCGGAGCGUAGUACAUCUCGCGCUUUGCACUCAUAACGACAGCGUCCAAAAGUACAUUUUACACUCUUGACCUCGGAUCAGGUAGGGAUACCCGCUGAACUUAAGCAUAUCAAUAAGCGGAGGA
rnacentral:misc_RNA from 1 species